rnacentral:snoRNA from 1 species
GGCUCGAUGAUUACAUGCCUAAUCAGGCAAUAUACGCUAUUCUGAAAAUUGUUCUAUUAAUGUGGACAACCUUAGAUAGAUAUGAGAGCU